rnacentral:rRNA from 1 species
GGUUGCGAUCAUACCAGCACUAAUGCACCGGAUCCCAUCAGAACUCCGCUGUUAAGCGUGCUUGGGCGAGAGUAGUACUAGGAUGGGUGACCCCCUGGGAAGUCCUUGUGUUGCAACCC